GAAUUUUCCGCGCGGAGUGGAAUUUCUCUUUGUCUUUUCUAAUUAGUUCCACCCGAGAAAUCACAAGACAAAGAGAAAUUCCGUUCCGCGCGGAAAAUUCCGCCAAGU
rnacentral:miRNA from 1 species